GAUGAACGCUGGCGGCAUGCUUGACACAUGCAAGUUGAACGAAGAUUAGAGUCUUUUAGAUUAUAAUACUUAGUAGCGGACGGGUGAGUAACGCGUAAGAAUCUACCUUUAGGAAAAAGAUAACAAUUGGAAACGAUUGCUAAUAUUUUAUAUGCUGAGAAGUUAAAAGGAUUUCCGCCUAAAGAUGAGCUUGCGUCUGAUUAGCUAGUUGGUUAGGUAAAGGCUUACCAAGGCAAUUAUCAGUAGUUGGUCUGAGAGGAUGAUCAGCCACACUGGGACUGAGACACGGCCCAG
rnacentral:rRNA from 1 species